rnacentral:rRNA from 1 species
UACGUAGGGUGCGAGCGUUGUCCGGAAUUAUUGGGCGUAAAGAGCUUGUAGGCGGUUUGUCGCGUCUGCUGUGAAAAUCCGGGGCUCAACCCCGGACUUGCAGUGGGUACGGGCAGACUGGAGUGUGGUAGGGGAGACUGGAAUUCCUGGUGUAGCGGUGGAAUGCGCAGAUAUCAGGAGGAACACCGAUGGCGAAGGCAGGGUCUCUGGG